GAGAGGUUUGCUAUUUUUUGCAAAGAAUGCAGGAUUCGAUCAUGGCUAUGCUUGAUUUAACAGGUUCUAAUGGACAAUAUUCUGAAUGUAAGGUAGAGUGAGAAAGCUAAGAAUUGGGUGAGGAAGCUAAUAAGGUUGGUAUACAUGCUAAUCAGAAGUAAAAUAUGAAUUUAUCAGGAAUACAUUUCCUCUGCAAUUUAUCCUGGCACAAUCCUGGUUGAGACAGUGACACUGUCUCACUCAACCAGUUCAACUAAAUGUUCACAUGUUUGAGCAGGUGCAUAUGAGACAUGCAAAGAAACUUGGAAAUGACUGAAGAACUGGAAAUUUUUUCCUUGUGCUCAGAAAUAUUUAGCGAUCACUCCAUAUACUUGUCAGAAAGAUAGUUCAGGAGUGGCUUGAUGACAUGGAGUACAUGCUUCAGAACACCUUGCACCUUUUCUGUCACCUGCGAGAAAUGUAUUGCUUCAUUAUUCAGAAUGAAAAGCCCUUUGGAGAUGAUGAAGACAUCGGAUUUUAUAUACUGGUGGACUGUUCUCUGCUGAGGGCCACAUACACAGAACAAUGUAUAAAUGCAUCAGGGGCUAAAAAAUGAAGAGAUGAGCUGUUGCAGUCUCCAGGGCAGUUCAAAAAUCGUAGUUAAAAGCACAUAACAACAACCCAACCUUGAACUUGGAAACAUCACUGUCCUAAGCGUUAACUAGCUACGAAGGAUAACAUGGAGAGAGAGAGGAUUUAUGCCACAGCAGGGAAUAUGUGGGCCAAUGACAGGGAUACAUCAUCUCUCCCAAAUCCUGGUUGUACCCAACUUGUCAGUACCGGUUACAGCUACUGUGCAUAUAGUAUUAAUGCUUUUCUGUUAAAUCAAGCAGAUCUUCUGUUGUGAUCUAAUGAAUUCAGUUUCCAUAAUUAAAAUUAUUAAAAAGUCUUUGUUGAUGGUAUCUGACAUAAAUAAGAACACUGAAAGGCAUUUUCUGCAGGAGAACCCUCACCAAUAUUUGCCUGCAUUCUGCUGGCUCCCUGUGGUUUUAGUAAGACUAACAAAAUAGAACCUUAAUUUUAGAGGUUGGUCAGCUGUAGCAAAUAAACGUCAAAAGCAAUGAAAUGAGCUUACCGAAAACACACAAGAUUUCCUUUUGAAAAACCUAGGGAAACAUAAAAAGAUCAGAAACUUCUUGCCUCAAACAUGUAUCCAGAAUCAUUGAGUUCUUACUGAUGUUUUAAUACCAGAAUAGUAGCAAUAUAUUCUUCAGAUUUUCUUCACAACAGGAAGAGUUGUUAUUUGAGGCAGUUAAGGAAAAUCACAGAUCACACCAGCACUCCAAGCACUACUGCUGAACAAGAUAGCAGAUUGCAAUAUUGCUUCUUUCCUUGCUUCUUGCAGCACUGCACAUAAAUAGUCUGCAGAAUAAAUGUUUCACUUCAGAGUGGAAUUUUCUCCAUUCAUCAUCUGAUUAUUUUAUAAUUUUAUUAAUUAUAGUUCAUCUCAAUUCAGUGCCUCAUUAGAAGAACAGACAAUUUGGUGUUAUUGACAAAUGGUUGUGUGAUACAUAUGGAUAAUCAAUUACACUAAUAUCCCAUGAAAUGAAAGUGAGGCUAAAUGGAUUGAAAAUACCACCCUUCAUGGGCUUCCCCUGCUUUCCUUUUGAAUGUCAACCAUGAAAGACAACCCAGCAGUAGGCAAUCUGUGAGUCAGACAGAUGUGUGGCACUCGCUUUUAACUUUCUGUGUAUAAAACAAUCCCCAGGUGAUUCUAUCUACACUGCUGUUGGAUGACAUUCCAUAAAUGACAGACUGUAGUGCCUAACUGGAACUUCCCACCUCAAAGAUUUAGCUAACAAACCCCAGAAACAUAUCCGUAUUAUUCUGUAUCACUUUUAUUAAUUUAUUUCCUAGUAAUUAAGAUAUUAAUUACUAUACAUAAUUACUCACAUUAGCAACCUAAUAAAAUAUUAGAUACAAAAUAAUAAUCCAUUUUCUUUAAAAAAGAGGACAUUGUUGUACAUUGUAUGUUACAACACUUGUUCUGAAUUUGCAAUUGAAGGAGCUACUCCAGUAUGUGAUUUAUUAUCCCGUGGCUCACUCUGUGUCAUGGCAGGGGAUGAUUUAUUUUACAGGAAACUGAAAAAAUACAUGGUAUGAUAUGGAUGUACUUUGCAAAUACUUGCCAAACUAAACAAUAGUAAUAAUAAAAGGGGAAAACACUGGUAACUUACAAAAUUGUA